UACGAAGGGGGCUAGCGUUGCUCGGAAUGACUGGGCGUAAAGGGCGCGUAGGCGGCGGGGUAAGUCGGGUGUGAAAUCUCAGGGCUCAACCCUGAAACUGCACUUGAUACUGCUCUGCUUGAGGGCUGGAGAGGAGACUGGAAUUCACGGUGUAGCAGUGAAAUGCGUAGAUAUCGUGAGGAAGACCAGUGGCGAAGGCGGGUCUCUGGACAGUUUCCU
rnacentral:rRNA from 1 species